rnacentral:tRNA from 1 species
GGUGCGUUAGUUCAGUUGGUUAGAAUACAUGCCUGUCACGCGUGGGGUCACGGGUUCGAGUCCCGUACGCACCGCGA